rnacentral:rRNA from 1 species
CCUACGGGCGGCAGCAGUGAGGAAUAUUGGUCAAUGGGCGAGAGCCUGAACCAGCCAAGUCGCGUGAAGGAUGACGGCCCUACGGGUUGUAAACUUCUUUUGUCAGGGAGCAAUUGGGUCCACGCGUGGGCUUAGCGAGAGUACCUGAAGAAAAAGCAUCGGCUAACUCCGUGCCAGCAGACGCGGUAAUACGGAGGAUGCGAGCGUUAUCCGGAUUUAUGGGGUUUAAAGGGUGCGUAGGCGGAAUAUCAAGUCAACGGUAAAAAUUCGGGGCUCAACCCCGUCGUGCCGUUGGAACUGAUGUGCUGGAGUGGGCGAGAAGGAUGCGGGAUGCGUGGUGUAGCGGUGAAAUGCAUAGAUAUCACGCAGAACUCCGGUUGCGAAGGCAGCAUACCGGCGCCCAACUGACGCUGAAGCACGAAAGCGUGGGUAUCGAACAGGAUUAGAUACCCCCUGUAGUC